AGAAUCAACGCUGGCGGCGUGCCUAACACAUGCAAGUCGAACGAGAAAGUGGAGCAAUCCAUGAGUAAAGUGGCGACCGGGUGAGUAACACGUGACUAACCUACCUUCGAGUGGGGGAUAACCUCGGGAAACCGAGGCUAAUACCGCAUAACAUCGUGAGAUCAAAGCAGUAAUGCGCUGGAAGAGGGGGUCGCGGCUGAUUAGUUAGUUGGCGGGGUAAUGGCCCACCAAGACUAUGAUCGGUA
rnacentral:rRNA from 1 species